rnacentral:rRNA from 1 species
GACGGGGACCCGCACAAGCAGCGGAGCAUGUGGUUUAAUUCGAAGCAACGCGAAGAACCUUACCAGAUCUUGACAUCCAAUUGACCACCUUUUAAUCGAGAUUUUGCCUUCGGGUACAAUUGAGACAGGUGGUGCAUGGUUGUCGUCAGCUCGUGUCGUGAGAUGUUGGGUAAGUCCCGCAACGAGCGCAACCCUUGUGUUUAGUUGUAAACAGGUCAAGCUGUGCACUCUAGACAGACUGCCGUGGACAACACGGAGGAAGGUGGGGAUGACGUCAAGUCAUCAUGGCCCUUAUGUCCAGGGCGACACACGUGCUACAAUGGCCGGCACAACGGGAAGCGAGUUCGCGAGGACGAGCGGAUCCCUUAAAGCCGGUCGCAGUUCGGAUUGAAGUCUGCAGCUCGACUUCAUGAAGCUGGAAUCGCUAGUAAUCGUGGAUCAGCCAAGCCGCGGUGAAUACGUUCCCGGGCCUU